CAGUCGCCACGGUAAAACGUAGGUGGCAAGCGUUGUCCGGAAUUAUUGGGCGUAAAGGGCUCGCAGGCGGUUUCUUAAGUCUGAUGUGAAAGCCCCCGGCUCAACCGGGGAGGGUCAUUGGAAACUGGGAAACUUGAGUGCAGAAGAGGAGAGUGGAAUUCCACGUGUAGCGGUGAAAUGCGUAGAGAUGUGGAGGAACACCAGUGGCGAAGGCGACUCUCUGGUCUGUAACUGACGCUGAGGAGCGAAAGCGUGGGGAGCGAACAGGAUUAGAUACCCCGGUAGUCCCUGUCUCUUAUAA
rnacentral:rRNA from 1 species